UAUUUGCAAUUCUGCAAUUUAAGAUGCAUUUCUUUCACAGGGCACAGUUAAACUACAGGUGUAUGGAAACAUGUGAAUGUAAACAAACAAAGGAAGAUCCUGCUGCAGCCUUCCGUGUUGGAGGACUCCUGCUCUUGCUGCAGUGUCCUGUGUGACCUCUCAGAUGUGGCACAAGACUGUCUGAUUCACUAGACAUCAAAUGUGAAAGGAGGUUGGAAGCUACUGAUUUUGGAGUAGACAACAAUGGUCUUGCUCCAACAAACCUUCUGGGGAAAUCCACAGGACACUUCAACUCCUAUCUUGCCCCACAAUCUUUUCAAGACAGAUAAAGAAAGAGGCGUGAGUCAAGGUCCCUGCAAAAACUGUAAUUUCAUCACCAGUAUGGGUUUAAACUUUAACAGCUUUGGUAUCCAUCUGUAAAAUGUCAUUUGUUGGUUCCAUCCUAGUAGCUCAAACAAAAGAAAAAACACACAUCUACUUCCUUCAAUAAAAUGUAAAAGUCUACAGUUUCUCUAUAUUUGUGCACUCAAGCCAUUCUAAUUUAUUCUACAAUGACUUUUAUUUUUUAGCAUUUUUAUGUGGCUGUUAUACUACAUAAUUAAUGGUGUUUACAUGGAAAGGUUGUUUAUGUAAAUGACCUAAGUGGACUACUGAGCAAGCUUUAAAACAAAUAAAUAUUUUUCUCCUUUUAAAAUUUACUUCACUCUCCUCUGAAUGUCUGGCAGAAGAGCAGAGUUUUUAAAAUGUCAAUGGGGACAUAGGAAUCAGGCUUUUGAGAUUCAUUCUCCCCUGGUGGGUCGGGCUUAUAAUUCUGUUUCCUGUAAUGGUUGGCCUUGGGGGAGUCAACAGUGACCCCACUGAC
rnacentral:lncRNA from 1 species